rnacentral:rRNA from 1 species
CUGCAGCUCAAGUGGUGACCACUAUUAUUGGGCCUAAAACGUUCGUAGCCGGUUUGGUAAAUGCCUGGGUAAAUCGUGUAGCUUAACUAUACGAAUUCCGGGUAGACUGCCAAACUUGAGACCGGGAGAAGCUAGAGGUACUCCUGGGGUAGAGGUGAAAUUCUGUAAUCCUGGGGGGACCACCAGUGGCGAAGGCGUCUAGCUAGAACGGGUCUGACGGUGAGGAACUAAGCCCUGGGGCGCAAACCGGAUUAGAGACCCGAGUAGUCC